CCUCUCGUAGUUCAAUGGACAGAACGCGAGAUUGCGGAUCUCGUAAUCCAGGUUCGAAUCCUGGCGGGAGGA
rnacentral:tRNA from 1 species